GUUAGAAGUUAGCAAUAUCCUUUAACUUUACGUUCCGCUAUACAGAUAAUGUGCUCUCACUAAAUAAUACAACAUUUAGUGACUGUAGAAAAAAAUUAUCCCAUCGAGAGAUAAAGGAUACUAUAGAUACAGUUGUCUGUCUCAUAUCUUGACUUACAUCUAGCAAUUGACAAUGAGGGAAGGUUGAAAACAAAACUAUACGACAAAAGAAAUGAUUUUGAACUUGCCUUUCUAUGUAGCAACAUUCCAGCAGCGCCUGCAUACGGAGUAUAUAUCUCCUAAUUGAUACGAUAUUCCCGGGCUUGUAUUUCCUAACAUGAUUUCCUUGAUAGGGGAUUGCU
rnacentral:lncRNA from 1 species